GAUGAACGCUGACAGAAUGCUUAACACAUGCAAGUCUACUUGAACUUCGGUUUGGGUGGCGGACGGGUGAGUAACGCGUAAAGAACUUGCCUCACAGUUAGGGACAACAUUUGGAAACGAAUGCUAAUACCUGAUAUUAUGAUUUUAAGGCAUCCUAAGAUUAUGAAAGCUAUAUGCGCUGUGAGAGAGCUUUGCGUCCCAUUAGCUAGUUGGAGAGGUAACGGCUCACCAAGGCGAUGAUGGGUAGCCGGCCUGAGAGGGUGAACGGCCACAAGGGGACUGAGACACGGCCCUUACUCCUACGGGAGGCAGCAGUGGGGAAUAUUGGACAAUGGACCAAAAGUCUGAUCCAGCAAUUCUGUGUGCACGAUGACGUUUUUCGGAAUGUAAAGUGCUUUCAGUUGGGAAGAAAAAAAUGACGGUACCAACAGAAGAAGUGACGGCUAAAUACGUGCCAGCAGCCGCGGUAAUACGUAUGUCACAAGCGUUAUCCGGAUUUAUUGGGCGUAAAGCGCGUCUAGGUGGUUAUGUAAGUCUGAUGUGAAAAUGCAGGGCUCAACUCUGUAUUGCGUUGGAAACUGCAUGACUAGAGUACUGGAGAGGUAAGCGGAACUACAAGUGUAGAGGUGAAAUUCGUAGAUAUUUGUAGGAAUGCCGAUGGGGAAGCCAGCUUACUGGACAGAUACUGACGCUAAAGCGCGAAAGCGUGGGUAGCAAACAGG
rnacentral:rRNA from 1 species